GGGGAAUCUUGGUCAAUGGGCGCAAGCCUGAACCAGCGAUGCCGCGUGAGUGAUGAAGGCCUUCGGGUUGUAAAGCUCUGUGGGGAGGGACGAAAGAAUCGGUUCUAACAGGACCGAAGUUGACGGUACCUCCUUAGCAAGCACCGGCUAACUCUGUGCCAGCAGCCGCGGUAAGACAGAGGGUGCAAACGUUGCUCGGAAUUACUGGGCGUAAAGGGCGUGUAGGCGGGAAGGUAAGUCGGGCGUGAAAUCCCCAAGCUCAACUUGGGAACUGCACUCGAAACUACCUUUCUUGAGUGCCGGAGAGGAAAGCGGAAUUCCUGGUGUAGAGGUGAAAUUCGUAGAUAUCAGGAGGAACACCAGUGGCGAAGGCGGCUUUCUGGACGGUGACUGACGCUGAGACGCGAAAGCGUGGGGAGCAAAC
rnacentral:rRNA from 1 species